AGUGAACGCUGGCGGUAGGCCUAACACAUGCAAGUCGAACGGCAGCACAGGAGAGCUUGCUCUCUGGGUGGCGAGUGGCGGACGGGUGAGGAAUACAUCGGAAUCUACUCUGUCGUGGGGGAUAACGUAGGGAAACUUACGCUAAUACCGCAUACGACCUACGGGUGAAAGCAGGGGACCUUCGGGCCUUGCUCGAUUGAAUGAGCCGAUGUCGGAUUAGCUAGUUGGCGGGGUAAAGGCCCACCAAGGCGACGAUCCGUAGCUGGUCGGAGAGGAUGAUCAGCCACACUGGAACUGAGACACGGUCCAGACUCCUACGGGAGGCAGCAGUGGGGAAUAUUGGACAAUGGGCGCAAGCCUGAUCCAGCCAUACCGCGUGGGUGAAGAAGGCCUUCGGGUUGUAAAGCCCUUUUGUUGGGAAAGAAAUCCAGCUGGCUAAUACCCGGUUGGGAUGACGGUACCCAAAGAAUAAGCACCGGCUAACUUCGUGCCAGCCGCCGCAGUAA
rnacentral:rRNA from 1 species